GAGCCUGGGAGGGAAGGGAGGAGUAUCAGAGAGCUGAAACAGUGUCUAGUAAAAGGACCAUGGACACCUCUCCAAACUCAGCAAACAGGGCAACACUGCGAUCUUGAGAAAGCGUUUGUGGUUCAAGGAUGAGGGCCAACACCUUCUAAUGCACCAAAUGCUUCAUUUACAUGGUUUUCUACAGACAGCAGUUUCCUCACCUUUGGAGAAGAGUCAUGCUUAACACAAUGUGAGAUAACAUCCAGUUUAAUCCACCCGUUCUAAUCUUCUGAGUAGGUGAAGCUAUCCGGAAAAGGGAAGCCCUUUGUCCUCAGAGACGUCUGGGGACCAUCCUUCAUGACCUGCAGACUACACUCACCCAUUCGUCUGGUCAAGCCUGGGCUAGACUGCAGAAGCAACGGCUCGUCCACGCCUGCCCCACUUUUGGGUACAUGGGUUGAUCCAAAUAUAUAGGUUCUUGGUUAAAGACCCACCAUCAAGCCUCUUGGAAGUAUGGCCCAAGGAUGUUUUUUAAAAUUCAAAUCUAUUAAUAGGUCAUAGUAAAAGUGAUGGCUUACUGGUU